UUCAUGCUGAUUUCUCUGGAAUCCCCUUGGCCAAGAAGGGUCCAUUCAGCUUGUUGGUGCGGGAGCUCAGGAUUUCAUUUUUAGUUCUCACAUGGCAGGAAGUGUUUGUGCACUCUCAGGUCACACAAGAGAUGGUAAUUUGUCAGUGAGCUGAGGAAGGCAGAUCUGGCCUCAGCUAUGAGGGUGGGUAGCACCCAGCCCAUUGCAGACCCAGACUCCGGAGGUUCCUCUGUCUUCUUGGGCUGGGGCGUCCAUCUCCUCCUGCCCGCAGACACAGGAGUUUCUGGGUCCCAGGCCUUGCGCUCUGGGACUGACACCAGCGGUUUGGGCUUGGACUGAAUGACGCCACCCGCUGUUCGGGUUCACUGGCUUAGGGACAGCGGUUUGUGGGACUUCUCAGCCUCCGUGAUCAAGGAGCCGAUUCCUGUAAUAAAUCUCCUCCUAAAC
rnacentral:lncRNA from 1 species